GCGGCAAGGGCAGAGGAAUGGAGGGUAACUAAUUAUUCAUCUACUAAUUAUUUUACACGACUCUCUACUGAAAAACGUUUUUCUCUCGCUUAGGAAGGAGAAUCUCCAUGAUCUGAUUAUGGCAGCAGCUUAUUCAGAGGAAAGGGAUCACGCAUGUCUACCCGUGUCUCCAACCACUAUGCUUGCCUUUGCCCCUAGAUAUGACAUUGUAAAAUCGAUCAAAGUGCGGCUUAUAAACAAGCGAUCGAAAGAUUACAAUAUUGAAGCCAAGACUAGAUUGACUGUCUUCUACAUGAGAUAGAAGUUCCAUGCUGGACCAUUUGAAGUAGAACCUAUUUGAGUUACCCACUCAAAACCAGAUUGUUGUGGGUUGGUGCUUCAUUGUGAAGACGGAAGACUUUUUCACACACGAAUUGGAAGAUUGAUGAGUUGCCUGUUGGUGGAAGAAGCUUUUAUCGUGUAGUAUUAGAACAACUUGCAAAAGAAGGCAUUAUAUUGGUAUGUUCUAGAAGCUAUCUUAUAUUUGUUGGAGUAAUGUUAACUCCAACUAAGGUUGUGUUAGCAGCUGUGGUAGCCCAACUUUCAAACUAUUCUCAUUCUGUUCUUGUCGUGAGUUUUGGACAACAGACGGUGCAUGCUUUUUGGCAUAAGCUAACUAUAAGCAAACAAUCAGUUAAUUUUCUUUCUCCACCUCCUUCACCGUAAUUCAGUUUAUGCGGUGGUUCUUUUGUAUUUAACUUCAUGCAAUCAUUGUAAUAAUAUAUAAGAAUUUCAUUUAUAUGAAGAUUUGUGUCUGUUAUGUGUUUU